CCUACGUGAGGCUGCAGUGAGGAAUAUUGGUCAAUGGGCUUACGCCUGAACCAGCCAAGUCGCGUGAGGGAAGACUGCCCUAUGGGUUGUAAACCUCUUUUGUCAGGGAGCAACGCCGGCUACGUGUAGCCGGACUGAGAGUACCUGAAGAAAAAGCAUCGGCUAACUCCGUGCCAGCAGCCGCGGUAAUACGGAGGAUGCGAGCGUUAUCCGGAUUUAUUGGGUUUAAAGGGUGCGUAGGCGGAAUGCCAAGUCAGCGGUAAAAUCUCGGGGCUCAACCUCGCUCAGCCGUUGAAACUGGCGUUCUUGAGUGGGCGAGAAGUAUGCGGAAUGCGUGGUGUAGCGGUGAAAUGCAUAGAUAUCACGCAGAACUCCGAUUGCGAAGGCAGCAUACCGGCGCCCAACUGACGCUGAAGCACGAAAGCGUGGGUAUCGAACAGGAUUAGAUACCCCAGUAGUC
rnacentral:rRNA from 1 species